CUACGGGCGGCUCCAGUGAGGAAUAUUGCACAAUGGGGGGAACCCUGAUGCAGCAACGCCGCGUGGAGGAUGACGCAUUUCGGUGUGUAAACUCCUUUUAUAUGUCAAGAAAAUGACGGUAGCAUAUGAAUAAGCACCGGCUAACUCCGUGCCAGCAGCCGCGGUAAUACGGAGGGUGCAAGCGUACUCGGGAUCACUGGGCGUAAAGGACGCGUAGGCGGGUUGGAAAGUCAGGUGUGAAAUCCUACAGCUUAACUGUAGAACUGCACUUGAAACUUCUAAUCUAGAGUAUGGGAGGGGGAGAUGGAAUUAGUGGUGUAGGGGUAAAAUCCGUAGAUAUCACUAGGAAUACCUAAAGCGAAGGCGAUCUCCUGGAACAUUACUGACGCUAAGGCGUGAAAGCGUGGGGAGCAAACAGGAUUAGAUACCCUGGUAGUC
rnacentral:rRNA from 1 species